UACGUAGGGUGCGAGCGUUGCCCGGAUUUAUUGGGCGUAAAGGGCGCGUAGGCGGCCACGCACGUCCGUUGUGAAAUCGCCCGGCUCAACUGGGCGGGGUCAGCGGAUACGGUGUGGCUAGAGCAAGCUAGGGGGCAAUGGAAUUCCCGGUGUAGUGGUGGAAUGCGUAGAUAUCGGGAGGAACACCAGUGGCGAAGGCGGUUGCCUGGAGCUUUGCUGACGCUGAUGCGCGACAGCGUGGGGAGCAAACAGG
rnacentral:rRNA from 1 species